UACGUAGGCAGCAAGCGUUGUUCGGAAUUACUGGGCGUAAAGGGUGUGUAGGCGGUGCUCCAAGUCUGGUGUGGAAUCUCCCGGCUUAACUGGGAGGGUGCGCCGGAAACUGGAGUGCUAGAGGGUGGGAGAGGUAAGCGGAAUUCCUGGUGUAGCGGUGAAAUGCGUAGAUAUCAGGAGGAACACCUGUGGUGUAGACAGCUUACUGGACCACUUCUGACGCUGAGACACGAAAGCGUGGGUAGCAAACAGG
rnacentral:rRNA from 1 species